GAGUUCCAGACAAGUGACAGACUCAGGUUUAAAAUUUAUGAUCCUAACCACGAGCGAUUUGAAGUUCCCC